AACUGAUUUUGAAAAGUGAGAGAAAUGGUGAUAUAAACCAAAUUCAAAGCCUCCUUCACUAUUUGUUGUGUUUGACCAAGUAACAGCGAUAUUCUCUCCGUUCCCGUCAGGCCGUUCCGUUGUCCUUCUCUGCAAUGUCACACCAUCUUCGCACUCUUCAACUUCCACCACUCUCCCCGAAAAUCCCAACGACCAAUCCACAUUCUUUCUCCCUCCAUUGCUUCCGCUCCGGCUUCAGGUUUGGCUUCCAUUCUUCCGUCUCCUGCGGAUGCGCGCGCCAAACCUCUCCGGUUCGGUUCAGUCAUCAAGCGUCCUUGCAAGAGGAAGGAAAACCUGUUUCCCUUUACCUUCAACCUGUCUCAAGCGAAACUCACUUUGAUCUUCUCCUCGAUCAGGCUCAAAGGCUCCACCAAGCUGUCGUUGUGGUUUGGAUGGCAAAUUGGUGCAGAAAAUGUAUAUACUUAAAACCAAAAUUGGAAAAGUUGGCAGCAGAAUAUUAUCCAAGAUUGCAGUUCUACACUGUUGAUGUUAAUACAGUUUCACACAAACUUGUUGCUCGUGCAGGUGUGACUAAAAUGCCAACCAUACAACUUUGGAAGGACGGCAAGAAACAAGCUGAAGUUAUUGGUGGCCAUAAUAAAGCACAUAUAGUAGACUGUUCAUGUGAAGACCCUGUUCAAAUGUAACAAGAUUGCAUGGAGAUGGAUUUCUUGGUGACCAUCACCUUCAAAUGCACAAAAAGUCUACAUUGCAGUCGCUAGUGGCGCAUCUCGGGUUUAGGCCAAAGGACAAGUUGGAAUUUGACAUGUGGGUACUGUUUAUGGAAACCACAGAAGUUUUUUCCCCUCUUAUAGCUGCAUGGCAUCCAAGAACUAACAUUCAAAGCCCCAACCAAGUCAAUGAAUGACACGACCAAUUGAGUCGUGUGUGGAGUGGAGUUGCAACAAACUUUGAACCAAGCCACAAUUUUCCUUCCACAGGGUCACAAAUCUUACCACCAAACUCAUCCUGCUAAACAACUUUAUACCUUAGUGUCAGCUUCAGCACUAUUGAUCUGAAGUACUCAAAUCUCUCUGACCUGGAAUAAAUGACCUUUCUUUGGGUUUCUCUCUCUUUAUUGUAUGACUUUGUAAUGGCUUCUCACCAGCAUGACGUGGCCUGAAGAAAGUUAGUGCAAUAUGGCUACUUAUUUCUUCAAUUCAUUGAAAGUCCAAGUUACAA